rnacentral:rRNA from 1 species
UGGGGAAUUUUGGACAAUGGGCGAAAGCCUGAUCCAGCAAUGCCGCGUGUGUGAAGAAGGCCUUCGGGUUGUAAAGCACUUUUGUCCGGAAAGAAAUGGCUCUGGUUAAUACCUGGGGUCGAGGACGGUACCGGAAGAAUAAGGACCGGCUAACUACGUGCCAGCAGCCGCGGUAAUACGUAGGGUCCAAGCGUUAAUCGGAAUUACUGGGCGUAAAGCGUGCGCAGGCGGUUGUGCAAGACCGAUGUGAAAUCCCCGAGCUUAACUUGGGAAUUGCAUUGGUGACUGCACGGCUAGAGUGUGUCAGAGGGGGGUAGAAUUCCACGUGUAGCAGUGAAAUGCGUAGAGAUGUGGAGGAAUACCGAUGGCGAAGGCAGCCCCCUGGGAUAACACUGACGCUCAUGCACGAAAGCGUGGGGAGCAAACAGG